GAUGAAGAACGUAGCGAAAUGCGAUAAGUAGUGUGAAUUGCAGAAUUCAGUGAAUCAUCGAAUCUUUGAACGCACAUUGCGCCCCUUGGUAUUCCAUGGGGCAUGCCUGUUCGAGCGUCACUUGUACCUUCAAGCUCUGCUUGGUGUUGGGUGUUUGUCUCGCCUCUGCGUGUAGACUCGCCUCAAAACAAUUGGCAGCCGGCGUAUUGAUUUCGGAGCGCAGUACAUCUCGCGCUUUGCACUCAUAACGACGACGUCCAAAAGUACAUUUUUACACUCUUGACCUCGGAUCAGGUAGGGAUACCCGCUGAACUUAAGCAUAUCAAUAAGCGGAGGA
rnacentral:misc_RNA from 1 species